CUGCUCUUGGUCACGUUUAUUAGAAUUUUGAAAAUAACAUGAAACAUAUUUUUACAUUAACAUGUAUAUUAGUGACUGCACUGUUAAAAAAGUCUUUUCAGUCUUUGCCUUAUAAGAUUACUGUCGAAUAUACUUCCACUUGAUAUACACACUGCUUUAAAGUGGUUAUCACGUUUUCGAUAAUCAAAUUGGGUAGUUGCUGAUAGUUUCCCUUUUCAUUGUACUGUACACACCCACGAAAUCGCUGGCAUUUAGAGCUUGGUUAAAAGUAUGUUAACAGUUGUAGGAGAUUUUCAGGAAAGGAAUAAAAAGUCAUAGAUAAUUUGUGACAUGACAGUUCUUUCAGCCUCCUCUCUUUAUUUCAAAAUCCUUUUUUUUUUCUAAAAGUUUCAAUUAUGUUCGCUUUAUUCUAUAUGAUAAGACAUAUAUUAAAU
rnacentral:lncRNA from 1 species